UACGGAAGAUGCGAGCGUUAUCCGGAUUUAUUGGGUUUAAAGGGAGCGUAGGCGGAUUGUUAAGUCUGCGGUUAAAUGUCAGCGCCCAACGCUGGCAUGCCGUGGAAACUGGCGGUCUUGAAUGCGGUCAAGGGAGGCGGAAUUCGCCAUGUAGCGGUGAAAUGCUUAGAUAUGGCGAAGAACCCCGAUUGCGAAGGCAGCCUCCUGGCCCGUGAUUGACGCUGAGGCUCGAAAGCGCGGGUAUC
rnacentral:rRNA from 1 species